rnacentral:rRNA from 1 species
UACGGGGGGGGGCAAGCGUUUGUUCGGAAUUACUGGGCGUAAAGGGCUCGUAGGUGGCCAACUAAGUCAGACGUGAAAUCCCUCGGCUUAACCGGGGAACUGCGUCUGAUACUGGAUGGCUUGAGUUUGGGAGAGGGAUGCGGAAUUCCAGGUGUAGCGGUGAAAUGCGCGGAUAUCAGGAGGAACACCUAUAGCGAAGGCAGCUUGCUGGGACGACACUGACGCUGAGGCGCGAAAGCGUGGGGAGCGAACAGG